UGGUGGCGAUAGCGAAGAGGUCACACCCGUUCCCAUACCGAACACGGAAGUUAAGCUCUUCAGCGCCGAUGGUAGUUGGGGGUUUCCCCCUGUGAGAGUAGGACGCCGCCAAGCU
rnacentral:rRNA from 6 species